GGAGUUUGGUCCGUGUCUCAGUACCAAUGUGGGGGACCGUUCCUCUCAGAACCCCUACCUGAUCGUCGGCCAGGUGGGCCGUUACCCCGCCUGCUGCCUAAUCAGACGCAUCCCCAUCCCAUGGCGUCAAACUUUAGUGCUCCUCAGAUGUCCUCAAAGCACAACAUAGGGUGUUAAUCCGCAUUUCUACGGGCUAUGCCCUACAGGGGGAAGGUUGGAUACGCGUUACUCACCCGUGCGCCGGUCGCCAUCAGGAAUUGCAAGCAACUCCCAUGCUGCCCCUCGACUUGCAUGUGUUAAGCCUGUAGCUAGCGUUCAUC
rnacentral:rRNA from 1 species